ACAGGCCUAACACAUGCAAGUCGAGCGCACCUUCGGGUGAGCGGCGGACGGGUUAGUAACGCGUGGGAACGUGCCCUUCUCUACGGAAUAGCCAUUGGAAACGAUGAGUAAUACCGUAUACGCCCUUCGGGGGAAAGAUUUAUCGGAGAAGGAUCGGCCCGCGUUAGAUUAGAUAGUUGGUGGGGUAACGGCCUACCAAGUCUACGAUCUAUAGCUGGUUUUAGAGGAUGAUCAGCAACACUGGGACUGAGACACGGCCCAGACUCCUACGGGAGGCAGCAGUGGGGAAUCUUAGACAAUGGGCGCAAGCCUGAUCUAGCCAUGCCGCGUGAGUGAUGAAGGCCUUAGGGUCGUAAAGCUCUUUCGCCAGGGAUGAUAAUGACAGUACCUGGUAAAGAAACCCCGGCUAACUCCGUGCCAGCAGCCGCGGUAAUACGGAGGGGGUUAGCGUUGUUCGGAAUUACUGGGCGUAAAGCGUACGUAGGCGGAUUAGAAAGUUGGGGGUGAAAUCCCAGGGCUCAACCCUGGAACUGCCUCCAAAACUACUAGUCUAGAGUUCGAGAGAGGUGAGUGGAACUCCGAGUGUAGAGGUGAAAUUCGUAGAUAUUCGGAAGAACACCAGUGGCGAAGGCGGCUCACUGGCUCGAUA
rnacentral:rRNA from 1 species